GAGGCUGAGCGGUUUCUGUGUGCUGGAGUUUGCUCCGGCGGCGUGGAGAGGAGCUGCAGCCGACGCAUCGCAAAGGGAUGGAGGCCCCCUUCUCCCAGCCAGUCACCGAUUAUAUGUGGUUUGGUCGAUGAGGAUGGCGUGAAAGAUGGCUGCUCCACUCCGGGUAUGUUUGAUGCGAGCAUACAAAACCUUUGCCGUUGCGUCCCAACCUCUACUGUAUAUAUGAAUGGAUAAAAUGUUGCCUGGCGAUCGGCGGUGGAGGGCCAACGGGAGCGGGAACGAAGUUCACAGGCGGUGGUGCCAUGACCCUCUUCGAGCCAGGACGGCCCAUCCUGGGUCCCAUCGGCAUGAGUGCUAAGACCCGAUUUCUCUUCUAACACGACUCAUGGUUCAGAA